rnacentral:rRNA from 1 species
AUUGAACGCUGGCGGCAUGCCUUACACAUGCAAGUCGAACGGCAGCACGGGAGCAAUCCUGGUGGCGAGUGGCGAACGGGUGAGUAAUAUAUCGGAACGUGCCCAGUCGUGGGGGAUAACGUAGCGAAAGCUACGCUAAUACCGCAUACGAUCUAUGGAUGAAAGCGGGGGAUCGCAAGACCUCGCGCGAUUGGAGCGGCCGAUAUCAGAUUAGGUAGUUGGUGAGGUAAAGGCUCGCCAAGCCGACGAUCUGUAGCUGGUCUGAGAGGACGACCAGCCACACUGGGACUGAGACACGGCCCAGACUCCUACGGGAGGCAGCAGUGGGGAAUUUUGGACAAUGGGCGCAAGCCUGAUCCAGCAAUGCCGCGUGCAGGAUGAAGGCCUC